rnacentral:rRNA from 1 species
CUACGGGAGGCAGCAGUGGGGAAUUUUGGACAAUGGGCGCAAGCCUGAUCCAGCCAUUCCGCGUGAGUGAAGAAGGCCUUCGGGUUGUAAAGCUCUUUCGCAAGGGAAGAAAACUUAUCCUCUAACAUAGGAUGAGGUUGACGGUACCUUGAUAAGAAGCACCGGCUAACUACGUGCCAGCAGCCGCGGUAAUACGUAGGGUGCGAGCGUUAAUCGGAAUUACUGGGCGUAAAGCGUGCGCAGGCUGUUUUGUAAGUCAGAUGUGAAAUCCCUGGGCUCAACCUAGGAACUGCGUUUGAAACUACAAGACUAGAAUAUGUCAGAGGGGGGUAGAAUUCCACGUGUAGCAGUGAAAUGCGUAGAGAUGUGGAGGAAUAUCAAUGGCGAAGGCAGCCCCCUGGGAUAAUAUUGACGCUCAUGCACGAAAGCGUGGGGAGCAAACAGGAUUAGAUACCCUGGUAGUCCACGCCCUAAACGAUGUCUACUAGUUGUUGGUGGAGUAAAAUCCAUGAGUAACGCAGCUAACGCGUGAAGUAGACCGCCUGGGGAGUACGGUCGCAAGAUUAAAACUCAAAGGAAUUGACGG